rnacentral:misc_RNA from 1 species
GAUGAAGAACGCAGCGAAAUGCGAUAAGUAAUGUGAAUUGCAGAAUUCAGUGAAUCAUCGAAUCUUUGAACGCACAUUGCGCCCCCCAGUAUUCUGGCGGGCAUGCCUGUUCGAGCGUCAUUUCAACCAUCAAGCCCUGCUUAUGUUGGGGUCCUGCGGCUGCCCGCAGGCCCUGAAAACCAGUGGCGGGCUCGCUAGUCACACCGAGCGCAGUAGCACAUCUCGCUCAGGGCGUGCGGCGGGCUCCAGCCGUUAAAGCACCCACCUUUCGCAAGGUUGACCUCGGAUCAGGUAGGAAUACCCGCUGAACUUAAGCAUAUCAAUAAGCGGAGGA